rnacentral:rRNA from 1 species
CCUACGGGAGGCAGCAGUGGGGAAUUUUGGACAGUGGGCGCAAGCCUGAUCCAGCCAUGCCGCGUGCGGGAAGAAGGCCUUCGGGUUGUAAACCGCUUUUGUCAGGGAAGAAAAGGUUCUGGCUAAUACCUGGGACUCAUGACGGUACCUGAAGAAUAAGCACCGGCUAACUACGUGCCAGCAGCCGCGGUAAUACGUAGGGUGCAAGCGUUAAUCGGAAUUACUGGGCGUAAAGCGUGCGCAGGCGGUUAUGCAAGACAGAGGUGAAAUCCCCGGGCUCAACCUGGGAACUGCCUUUGUGACUGCAUAGCUAGAGUACGGUAGAGGGGGAUGGAAUUCCGCGUGUAGCAGUGAAAUGCGUAGAUAUGCGGAGGAACACCGAUGGCGAAGGCAAUCCCCUGGACCUGUACUGACGCUCAUGCACGAAAGCGUGGGGAGCAAACAGGAUUAGAUACCCUGGUAGUCCACGCCCUAAACGAUGUCAACUGGUUGUUGGGAGGGUUUCUUCUCAGUAACGUAGCUAACGCGUGAGUUGACCGCCUGGGGAGGACGGCGCGAGUAGUUAAGUUAAAGUAGUUAGUUAGUAGNGNGNGAGNGCGACGGACGACGACGAGGAGGAGG